rnacentral:rRNA from 1 species
AACGAACGCUGGCGGCGCGUCUUAAGCAUGCAAGUCGAACGGCAAGAGAGGAGCUUGCUUCUCUCCUAGAGUGGCGGACUGGUGAGUAACGCGUGGGUGAUCUACCUUUAAGAUGGGGAUAGCUUUUAGAAAUAAGAGAUAAUACCGAAUGUGCUUACGAUGUUUUGACAUUGUAAGGAAAGGAGCGUUUGCUCCGCUUAAAGAUGAGCCUGCGUCCCAUUAGCUAGUUGGUGAGGUAAAGGCCCACCAAGGCUGUGAUGGGUAUCCGACCUGAGAGGGUGAUCGGACACAUUGGGACUGAGAUACGGCCCAAACUCCUACGGGAGGCAGCAGCUGAGAAUCUUCCGCAAUGGACGAAGUCUGACGGAGCGACACCGCGUGAAUGAUGAAGGCCGAAAGGUUGUAAAAUUCUUUUGCAGACAAAGAAUAAGUGCAGGAGGAAAUGCCUGCAUGAUGACGGUAGUUAUGCGAAUAAGCCCCGGCUAAUUACGUGC